CCUACGGGAGGCUGCAGUGGGGAAUAUUGGACAAUGGGGGGAACCCUGAUCCAGCCAUGCCGCGUGUGUGAAGAAGGCCCUCGGGUUGUAAAGCACUUUCAGUGAGGAAGAACGCCUGGUGGUUAAUACCCAUCAGGAAAGACAUCACUCACAGAAGAAGCACCGGCUAACUCCGUGCCAGCAGCCGCGGUAAUACGGAGGGUGCGAGCGUUAAUCGGAAUUACUGGGCGUAAAGCGCGCGUAGGUGGCUUGAUAAGCCGGUUGUGAAAGCCCCGGGCUCAACCUGGGAACGGCAUCCGGAACUGUCAAGCUAGAGUGCAGGAGAGGAAGGUAGAAUUCCCGGUGUAGCGGUGAAAUGCGUAGAGAUCGGGAGGAAUACCAGUGGCGAAGGCGGCCUUCUGGACUGACACUGACACUGAGGUGCGAAAGCGUGGAUAGCAAACAGGAUUAGAUACCCGUGUAGUC
rnacentral:rRNA from 1 species